rnacentral:misc_RNA from 1 species
GAUGAAGAACGCAGCGAAAUGCGAUAAGUAAUGUGAAUUGCAGAAUUCAGUGAAUCAUCGAAUCUUUGAACGCACAUUGCGCCCCUUGGUAUUCCGAGGGGCAUGCCUGUUCGAGCGUCAUUAUAACCCCUCAAGCUCAGCUUGGUGUUGGGGCCUGCUGCACUGGCAGCCCUUAAAAUCAGUGGCGGCGCCAUCUGGCUCUAAGCGUAGUAAUUCUUCUCGCUAUGGAGUCCUGGUGGAUGCUUGCCAUCAACCCCCAAAUUUUCUAUGGUUGACCUCGGAUCAGGUAGGGAUACCCGCUGAACUUAAGCAUAUCAAUAAGCGGAGGA